rnacentral:rRNA from 1 species
UACAGAGGUCUCAAGCGUUGUUCGGAUUCAUUGGGCGUAAAGGGUGCGUAGGCGGCGUGGUAAGUCGGAUGUGAAAUCUCGGAGCUUAACUCCGAACUGCAUUCGAUACUGCCGUGCUUGAGGACUGGAGAGGAGACUGGAAUUUACGGUGUAGCGGUGAAAUGCGUAGAUAUCGUAAGGAAGACCAGUGGCGAAGGCGGGUCUCUGGACAGUUCCUGACGCUGAGGCACGAAGGCCAGGGGAGCAAACGGG